rnacentral:rRNA from 1 species
GAUGAACGCUAGCGGCAGGCUUAACACAUGCAAGUCGAGGGGCAGCAUAGGGUAGCAAUACUCUGAUGGCGACCGGCAAACGGGUGAGUAACGCGUAUGUAACCUACCCUGUACAGGGGGAUAACCCGGAGAAAUUCGGACUAAUAUCCCAUAACAAUAUCCGGGGGCAUCUUUGGAUAUUUAAAGUUCCGGCGGUACGGGAUGGGCAUGCGUAACAUUAGCUAGUUGGUAAGGUAACGGCUUACCAAGGCUUUGAUGUUUAGGGGUCCUGAGAGGGUGGUCCCCCACACUGGUACUGAGACACGGACCAGACUCCUACGGGAGGCAGCAGUGAGGAAUAUUGGUCAAUGGGCGCAAGCCUGAACCAGCCAUCCCGCGUGCAGGAAGACGGCGCUAUGCGUUGUAAACUGCUUUUCCAGGGAGAGAAACUUGCGCACGUGUUGCGCAAUUGACGGUACCCUGGGAAUAAGCAUCGGCUAACUCCGUG